ACCCUCGUCGGAGACGGAACGGUACGCGUGAGUCUCAUAAGGCGGAGGCAGGAAGGGGAGAUCGUCAGAACAGCGCCGCUUGAGUUUGAGUUCCAUGAGUACGAAACAAACUCAGCGCGGACCCGUCCAGCAAGAAAAGAUCGGUGCCGCCGGCGCUGCCCCAGCGAAGAUGGUAGUUCUUCCCCUCAUAGGCAGGAUCGCGGUGCGUCGCCAGCGCCCCUGGUGCGUGUGGCAGUCGGAUGACGACCUAAAAUACGAGAGUCUUGAAGAAUGCUGCAGGCAUUUGGAAGGCUUAGCUGCCGAACGCCAGCUUGUGCUGAAAGGCCUAGAGCUGUACAACGCUCUGCAUCCGGGCGAUGAGUAUGAACUUGCUCCUGGUAAGGUGACCAGGAGCAGCCAACUUGGUGAUGGGUGUUGCUGGAGUCAUGGCAACAUUGUGGCUCGUCGGAAGCGCUCUGGCUGCUUCUCUUUCCUGCCGGUUCCACGAACUCUCUUUUUCUUUGAGCACGUCUCUAGAGCUGAUUUCGAAGGAGUUGUCACAUGCAUUCCUUUAGGCUGAUCUGAGGGCAUGAUCUGAGGACCUCUAAAACCUCGCAACCAAACUCAUGGUGAACAUCUGAGGCGCGCAUAGUUGAUCUUCCGAGGAACAAGUAUUCAUACAAGCACGAGCAAGAACACCGAUAUUUGUUAACGAGGUUCAUCAAACAUCGGCUACAUCUCCGGAUGAACCAGUGACUGAAGCCUACACCUUUCUUGGUUUCCGUCUUGGGUGGGGUACUCGUCGUCUUGGUGGCUCGGAUUGCGUUUGCAAGACAUGCUACUGUCUCUUUAAUAUCCCGCACCCUUGUUUAAAGAGGACAUGUACAUGUGGAGAUAGCAGGGUGGAGAAAAUAUGUGAAAUGUGUUACAUUCGUAGUGGUGUGCUGCAUCCAUUCAGAGGAGAAUUCCAGUUUGGCUAUCACAAAUAGGGUUACCCCUACUGCUCACAUACGAUGCUAAGCUAGACUUGGUGAGUUGGUGGUGGAGCAAUAUGUGUGUUCGAAUGUUCAAUGUGUAUGAUUCGUCUUUACACCACUCUUGGCAAUCUUAUGUACUUGAGAACUUUGGCAAUCAUAUAAGUACGCCGUCUCUUCUUCUUUUUUGCGAAUAAAAGUCUGAUAAU